AACGAACGCUGGCGGCAUGCCUAACACAUGCAAGUCGAACGAGACCUUCGGGUCUAGUGGCGCACGGGUGCGUAACGCGUGGGAAUCUGCCCUUGGGUUCGGAAUAACAGUUAGAAAUGACUGCUAAUACCGGAUAAUGUCUUCGGACCAAAGAUUUAUCGCCCAGGGAUGAGCCCGCGUAGGAUUAGCUAGUUGGUGAGGUAAAGGCUCACCAAGGGCGACGAUCCUUAGCUGGUCUGAGAGGAUGAUCAGCCACACUGGGACUGAGACACGGCCCAGACUCCUACGGGAGGCAGCAGUGGGGAAUAUUGGACAAUGGGCGAAAGCCUGAUCCAGCAAUGCCGCGUGAGUGAUGAAGGCCUUAGGGUUGUAAAGCUCUUUUACCCGGGAUGAUAAUGACAGUACCGGGAGAAUAAGCCCCGGCUAACUCCGUGCCAGCAGCCGCGGUAAU
rnacentral:rRNA from 1 species